rnacentral:tRNA from 1 species
GGUUUUAUAUUCAAUAAUGAUUUUAAAUUGCAAAUUUAAAGGUGGGCGAAAUUGCCUUAAAACUU